rnacentral:rRNA from 1 species
GACGAACGCUGGCGGCGUGCUUAACACAUGCAAGUCGAACGGUGACAGAGGAGCUUGCUCCUCUCGAUCAGUGGCGAACGGGUGAGUAACACGUGAGUAACCUGCCCCAGACUCUGGGAUAACAUCGGGAAAUCGGUGCUAAUACCGGAUAUGAGACGAGAUUGCAUGAUCAUCGUCUGGAAAGAUUUAUCGGUCUGGGAUGGACUCGCGGCCUAUCAGCUAGUUGGUGAGGUAAUGGCUCACCAAGGCGACGACGGGUAGCCGGCCUGAGAGGGCGACCGGCCACACUGGAACUGAGAUACGGUCCAGACUCCUACGGGUGGCUG